CACACAUGUGCCUCCUGUGUCUUGCAGUGUGUUUCCCUGUGGAUGAGUCAUCUCCCCUCUGUCUGUUUUUACCACAGUAUUCAAUGUCUAUGGCGUUUCAGUUUGUACUGUAACUCACGCUGCCUCCUCAAAGAGAGCACCGCUUCAGAAGACCUGUCUUGAAACACUGACUCUCCACUGAGGAAACGGAAAAGACGUGGAAGGGAAGGCGUGGAAGGGGGAAGCCAUUCUCCCCAGUGACUCUGCUGCCCAAGAUUGUGGGGAUGAAAAACAUCAUCUUCCACCUGGAAAGAGACCAUGAUGACACACCAAAUGAUGACCGCCAGUCUGAAACUACUAUGAUGUCAGAGACCACUGUGGUGACAAACCAUGUGACGAACACUAUGAUGUCAGACCAAAUGGCAGAGCCUUGGGGCAGAGCAACUGCCGGUCACUCGACCUUACCCCGGUUUGGAGCGUAUCCCCUGGCAGUACAGUAGAUGGGGAUUGUUGGCAGUCUCGUACACAGCCCCACUGGACGGAGGGGUCUGGGUGUGUGUGGUGGGGGAGGGUAUUAUUACGCAGGGCUCAUUGUUGCUCCAGCCAACUCCCUGCCCUCCCUUCUCCAGAAUGUGCCCUUUAGAUCAUUGUGCAUGGAGACCAAGCCAUGGUGUUCUGGAGCCUGCCAUGCUGCAGCGUUCUGGCCAACAUGGCCGCUGCUACGGUACUGCCGCUCUCUGCUGCUGUGUGUUAGAUUGUGACUCUGAGGUAGUGCCAGUGAUUUGAGCUCAGAUACCAAGAGAAGCCAGUGCAACCGGGCUGCCCGCCCAGUCAUUAACAGUCUCUCUCGCUCUCUCUCGCUCUCUCCAACACCGUGAGACUAGACCAUGAGUUUAAUGGCUGCUUGUCCAGGGGUUUACGGCCCCUGAUUUCGCUCACUUCCAGUGGCUAAAUCAUUUAUGAGCGGGCAAGUGGAGAGACUAGUGGUUAGAGAGGUUUGGGUACAUGUGUUAUUGUUUGCGCCGCCGGGUCAUCGGGGGUCAUUAGGUAUCCAAGACUGCAUAGUGCUGCAGGUGCCGAAACCCAGAUCUAUUUUAUUAUUAUAUAUGUUUGUUUUAAAACUUUUUAAAUUUAAUUCUUCAUCAGAUAUUUCCUCACCCAGUUCCUCUUCCCAUGAGGAUUUAAUCAUGUUUAAUGAGAUGGUUUGUAGUGAGCGAAUUUGACUAGAGAUGAUUGACAAGGUAACUUUAAGAGUAGGAAGUGGGAUAAGAAAUGUGUCUAACUGUGUUUCACCAGGAAGGGUGGGGAAUCCUGGAUCUGUGGAUGUAACUCCGGACUUGUAAGAACUUAAAGAAAUGAUGUCAGGGGACACCAAAUUUAGCUGAUAAUUGUUCAGACAUACUAAAUGUAUUGUUAAUAUGCAGAUCUCUGAAUCUGUUAAUACCGAAAGCCAAAGAGGUGCCUAAAUUGAUUCCAGAUCUUCAAUGUUGUUCUGACAUAUAUUUUUGGUGAAGGAGGCAUAAGGGCCUGUAACAGAGGAGUGAGCGAGGGAAGACAAUGAUGCUGGUAGAGAUGAGUUCUUCCAUCUCUAGCCAAAUUGGGGGUGGGAAUAUCUCUCUGCUCUGCAACCAGUACUGAAAGAUCCUAAGGUUAGUGGCCCAAUAAUAGAAUCUGAAAUCCGCUAGACUGCGUCAUGUUUGGGCGUCUGCAAAAGCUGUUUUCGUAUCCUGGGGGCAUUUUGUCCCAUAUAAAAGGGUAGUAUUAGGCCGUCAAUCUUUUUGAAAUAUGUUUUGGGAAUUAAAAUUGGAAGGCACUGAUAGAGAUAUAAGUAUUUGGGGAGAGUAUUCAUUUGAAUAGAAUUCAUUAUUUCGACUAAGGAGAGGUAGCAAAGGCCAGAGUUCCAAAUCGUCCUUAGUACGGGUUAAAAGAGAGGCAAAGUUGGCUUGAAAAAGGCUUUCAAAUCUGAAUGUGACAUGUACCCCGGGAUAAAUAAAACUACUGUGAGCAAUUUUAAAUGGCAAGUUAUGUAAAGGGGGAUUUUUUUUGUGGCCAUAUUAAGCAGCAUCAAUUUGCUUUUACUGAGAUUCAGUUUAUUCCCUGAUAAGUGAUCGAAAGAUGCGAAAGUGGCAAGGGCAGCAGGAACAGAGACAGAAAGGUUGGAUGUGUAUAAUAAUAAAUCAUCUGCAU